rnacentral:rRNA from 1 species
AGAGUUUGAUCCUGGCUCAGGACGAACGCUGGCGGCGUGCCUAACACAUGCAAGUCGAACGGGACCAGGGGCAGCUCUGGUUCAGUGGCGGACGGGUGCGUAACACGUGAGGAACAUGACCUUCGGCGGGGGAUAGCCGGCCCAACGGCCGGGUAAUACCGCGUACGACCUCUCGGGGACAUCCCCGGUUGGUGAAAGCAGCAAUGCGCCGAUAGAGUGCCUCGCGGCCUAUCAGCUAGUUGGUGGGGUAAUGGCCCACCAAGGCGACGACGGGUAGCUGGUCUGAGAGGAUGGCCAGCCACAUUGGGACUGAGACACGGCCCAGACUCCUACGGGAGGCAGCAGUGGGGAAUAUUGCGCAAUGGGCGAAAGCCUGACGCAGCGACGCCGCGUGUGGGAUGACGGCCUUCGGGUUGUAAACCACUGUCGGGAGGGACGAAUGCGCCGCAAGGCGAGUGACGUACCUCCAAAGAAGCCCUU